AGUCUGCAACUCGACUACAUGAAGCUGGAAUCGCAGUAAUCGCGAAUCAGAAUGUCGCGGUGAAUACGUUCCCGGGUCUUGUACACACCGCCCGUCACACCAUGGGAGUUGACAACGCCCGAAGUCAGUGACCCAACCGCAAGGAGGGAGCUGCCGAAGGCGGGGUUGAUAACUGGGGUGAAGUCGUAACAAGGUAGC
rnacentral:rRNA from 1 species